GCAACACUGUGGUGACAACCCGAGGUUGGUCCUUGGAACCCAUGGAAAAAGCUGGCAUGGGAGCCUACAUGUGCCUUCCAGCUCUCUGCAAUCAAGAGGAGAAGUAGAGACAGGAGAAUGGCUCUGAAGCUCACAGGCUAGCCUGGGGUACAUGGCAGCAGAAACAAGAGAAGUAGAAGAGGUGUAGAUGACGUGAACACUUUGGGGGCGAUGAGGAAAACGGAGGAAAAAGCUUUUAUACUCACACUUGUCCCAGAGGAAGCCAGAGGAAACAUGGGGUUUGACUGAGCAAAGGCCCUUGUUGGAAUGGCUGCAUAUGAUGUUCCAAGAUUCGAGAAUCUAUUCUCAGCAUGGCAACCAGCAUCUUGUUCUGAGGUCCCGGGGCAUCACUCCUUCCUUUAAAGCUCCUAUCAGCUUCAGUCACGCCCACAGCAGCAGCAGCAGCAGCAGCAACAACAACAACAACAGUCUUCACAACAGCCCUGGUCAGAGUUGAUGCUGCCCUGUAUCCCAGGUCCACAACCUCUAUAGGGCCUUCAAACCUCUAAAACCAGUUGUGUCAGGUAAGAGUGCACUUGCCUCAUACAACCACCUCUCCUGAGGUGACCUCAGUAAGGUGUCACCCAGAUGCUCCAUUUGCAAUGCAAUGUGUCCAAGAGCAAUGCAAUGUGUCCCACCCCCACCCCCCAUCAUUUGAGCUCACGUGCUCGCCUGAAGUGGAAGCUUCUGGAUGGCAGGGAAUUCUCCCCCUGCUUGGCUCUCUGCGGUUUCCCUGUGCCCAGCCCAGCAGGA